rnacentral:tRNA from 1 species
GGGGAUAUAGCUCAGUUGGUAGAGUGCUUGCCUCACAUGUACAAGGCCCUGGGUUCAAUCCCCAAUAUCACAC